UAGGUUUGAUCUUGUGUACCAGUGUAGAUUUAUUCAUUACUUGAUAUUUUAAGCACUUUUGUACGUGCUCUGGUUAAGGGCGUCUACUAAAUGCUGCAAAUGUAAAUAUUUAAGCUGUAAUGCUUCUCUGCAUUUUAGUCAAAUGGAGAUUAAUUUGUUUACCCAUAAACCCCCACAGCUACCCAUAAGCUCAUGUCCUUCAUUUAGUUGGAAUAAGUUUUUUUGUGGAAAAAUAUGUUUAUAGGUGGUCUGUGGUGGUACAUUUCAUACCAUGUGUAUUUACUAUCACAAAACUUCCUGAGUUUAUAUGUUUCCACUAGAUGGCGCUUGUGCACUUAGAUACUGGCUUAAAUCGGUAACCUUCUAUCAGUUUAAUUUGUAUAAUUUUAUACUUUGAUUAUUUUUAUAAAGUUAAUUGUGAUUUCCACACUCAAUUGUUGAUUACUUGAGCAAGACGUAUUUAUCCUAAAAGCUUUUGGUGAUGUUAUAUUUUAUUCCCAUCAUGCCUUUGUAUGGCACUUCCUGUUAUAUGAUCUGCAUGAAGAGAUGAACGAUGCUACAGAAUCUUUGAAAGAUUUCAUGUGUUUCCUUUUGCCAUUAUAAUCAUCCAAUCAAGAGACUUCAAGAUAUAUUCCCCUCUCUUAGCUCACAAGCAGGGUUGAUGUCCACGUGCAUUAAACAUCUGUAAAAGAGAACCUCAGCCUUCGUGUUGUGACUGAGAGUCUCAUACCAUGUGUGUUUAACUGUUAUUCCUUUACCUGCACACGAUUUAACUAGUUCUAGUUUCUAGUUUUCCUGCCGCUAAUCACACAGUCUGAGUUUGUGCUGUCAAUAAACAAUUGUACUUUAA